rnacentral:rRNA from 1 species
AUAGCCAUGCAUGUCUAAGUAUAAGCAAUUAUACAGCGAAACUGCGAAUGGCUCAUUAAAUCAGUUAUCGUUUAUUUGAUAGUACCUUACUACAUGGAUAACCGUGGUAAUUCUAGAGCUAAUACAUGCUAAAAACCCCGACUUCGGAAGGGGUGUAUUUAUUAGAUUAAAAACCAAUGCCCUUCGGGGCUCACUGGUGAUUCAUGAUAACUUCUCGAAUCGCACGGCCUUGCGCCGGCGAUGGUUCAUUCAAAUUUCUGCCCUAUCAACUUUCGACGGCUGGGUCUUGGCCAGCCGUGGUGACAACGGGUAACGGAGGGUUAGGGCUCGACCCCGGAGAAAACGCCUGAGAAACGGCGUUUACAUCCAAGGAAGGCAGCAGGCGCGCAAAUUACCCAAUGCCGACACGGCGAGGUAGUGACGAGAAAUACUGAUACAGGGCUCUUUUGGGUCUUGUAAUUGGAAUGAGUACAAUUUAAAUCUCUUAACGAGGAACAAUUGGAGGGCAAGUCUGGUGCCAGCAGCCGCGGUAAUUCCAGCUCCAAUAGCGUAUAUUAAAGUUGUUGCAGUUAAAAAG